rnacentral:rRNA from 1 species
GGUACCGCCUGCCCAGUGACUCUUUAAACGGCCGCGGUAUCCUAACCGUGCAAAGGUAGCAUAAUCACUUGUCCCCUAAAUAGGGACUAGAAUGAAUGGCUAAAUGAGGACUAAACUGUCUCUUAUAGGCUGACCAAUGAAAUUGAUUUUCCAGUACAAAAGCUGGAAUAAACACAUAAGACGAGAAGACCCUGUGGAGCUUCAAAACCAAAAGCACCAAAUAUGCUUCCUUGAAUUUUUAGUUGGGGCGACUUCGGAGCACAAAAAAACCUCCGAAACAUGGCAAUUAACCUAAUCAAGAUUAACACAUCAAAACAAACACAUGAGACCCAGCAGCCACCAAAUCAACGCUGUCUGACCAAUGAACCAAGUUACCCCAGGGAUAACAGCGCCAUCCCCUUCUAGAGUCCCUAUCGACAAGGGGGUUUACGACCUCGAUGUUGGAUCAGGACACCCCAAUGGUGCAGCCGCCUUUAAAGGUUCGUUUGUUCAACGAUUAAAGUCCUA